AUCUCACUGGCCUGUGUGGAGCUUGGGAAAGUUGACAGCUUCAUUUGGAACUCCUCUGUAAGAAGAUAGCAAGCAUUGGAGGUCAGUGACUGCAUCAUGUCCUAAACACUUUCCAUGGAGUCAAAUUCCACUCUUAGUUUCUCAGCCAGAGCAUCCAGAACCGGAAUUGGACAGGUGGAGUUACAGGCACUGAGUCAUGCAACGUGGAGGCUGAGGACGGAACUCAGAAACUCUCAAAAAGCUGAGUGCUCUUAACUGCUGAUCUCUCUCCCCCUCCCUGUCUCCUUCCCUCUCACCCCCUCUCUCUACCUCACUCUUCCUCUGUCCUCUCCCACUCUCUGAGACAGGGUCUAACUAUGUAGCCUUAGCAGAACUAGAACUCCCUAUAUGAAUCAGACUGGCCAGGGACUCCCAGAGAUCUACCUGCUUCUUAUGUCCUGAGUGCUGGGCCACCACACUCACAGUUUUUUCAUUACUGCUAUAAAGUCAAAAGUCCCCCUUGUAUACAUUUGUUUGGACUCGUAAGCCCAGGGAUUCCUGCGCAUGUCUGAAGAUUAGACCUGAGGAGUGCUGGCCCUCAGCAAGGGUUUUGUCUAGAGGCUUCUGGGGGUAUAUUGGCUACAAUAAAAAUGCCAACUUUGCUGUUUACCGGGUCCUGUACUUUUCUCUUAAGAUACUGUAAAACUAGUUAUUUAUGUUUUGGUGUGUGUGGUGUAUGUUUAUGCUUACACAUGUUUUUUCAGGUACCUACACACACCAGCUUUUUAUGUGGGUCCUGGGAUUUGAACUCAGGCCCUUAUGCUUGCACAGCAGGUACUCUUAUGUGUUCAGCUGCCUCCCAGCCACAGCUCUUCUCUUGCCCCACGUUUAACUUGAGUUAUACUUGUUCUGUAAACAUUACAUCACAAGACAAACAAUAUUUAGAAGUUGUUUGCUAAAUUUACUUCUAUUUUUAGUACAUUUAUUUUUUGAAAUUAAAAUAUAAUGACAUCAUUUCUACCUUUUCCUUUCUUCCUUCCAACCCUUCCAGUGUACCCCGCCUUGCUAUCGCUCAAGCUCAUGGCCUAUGUCUUUGCAACUGCUGUUAUAUAAACACACAUGUUACCCCCAAAAAUGUGGGUGAACUUCAUCUGAUUGCAGGCCUUGAGAAGAGAUACAGCUUUUCCCAGAGAAAAAACUCUGCAUGGCAACAUCCACUCCUGCCUCAGUUUCCAGCCUGCCCUGUGGAGGUCAGACUUUUCUCAUCUCCCACUAUUGUACAAGCCAGACCCAGAAACUCCACAAGCAAACAUGUAUUUGUGUUUUUUACUAUGUUAUUGUAUUAUUUUAUAAUUAUUGUAUUUCAUAUACACAAGUUAUAGCUGUUGUAUAUUGAGUAAAAGUGUAUUAUAGUACGUACUAUUACAUGUUAUCAUAUGCAUUCUAUAACAAAUUAUAUUACUAUAAGCACAUAUUUAUAAUACAUACAUACAUAAUACAUGCAUAUAUAUAGAGGGGUGUGGUCUAGAUUAUAUUUUCUGGGGAGCCUGAACAGUAGAUUCCUCUGCUGUGUACAUGAGUGCCCCCCCCCACACACACACUAUGUUCACAUAUAAUUUUAAGUAGAAAUUUGUUGUUUCUGUUCCUCCACUAUAGGAGUUCAGGCCUUAGAGCUCACUGUAAAACAAAGGACAGGGGAGGAUACUUACUUGGCUGGAUGAGCUGGAUUUCCUAAUCCUAUGUUGAGAAGAGGACUUCAGGGUAGAUUGGAUGUCUUCCCAGCCCUAGACCAGUGGCUAGUCCUUGAAAGGCUCCCCAGCCAUUGGGUGGAGUGUGCUAGUCUCCGUGCGAUGUUGUUUGGCUUUUCUGGGCACUUUCCCACCCCAAGAUUGGUGGUGGUGGUUUGUUUAAAAUUAGUUUUUGUUUGGCCUGUGGAGAAAGAGCAAAUUGCAGAGUCUAGGUUGGAUUCAGAGAUUUUUGCAUUUGAGGUUCUGGGGGUUGUGUUAUUCAUCUAUUUUGAAACUAGACAGACACGGAUCUAAGACUGCCAUUGACCUAAAAUGUUAUCCUGGCAAGAAGUGGUCAGAAGCCUAAGGGGUGUUGAAGGCCAUCAUUUGAGGAAGAGAG